rnacentral:misc_RNA from 1 species
GAUGAAGAACGCAGUGAAAUGCGAUAAGUAGUGUGAAUUGCAGAAUUCAGUGAAUCAUCGAAUCUUUGAACGCACAUUGCGCCCCUUGGUAUUCCAUGGGGCAUGCCUGUUCGAGCGUCAUUUGUACCUUCAAGCUCUGCUUGGUGUUGGGUGUUUGUCUCGCCUCUGCGUGUAGACUCGCCUCAAAACAAUUGGCAGCCGGCGUAUUGAUUUCGGAGCGCAGUACAUCUCGCGCUUUGCACUCAUAACGACGACGUCCAAAAGUACAUUUUUACACUCUUGACCUCGGAUCAGGUAGGGAUACCCGCUGAACUUAAGCAUAUCAAUAAGCGGAGA